rfam:Oryza rufipogon genomic scaffold, chr05
UUUAAGUGCAACCAUAAGUUUUCAUGCUCAACUUUAAUUGUCUGUCUUAUUUGAAAAUUUUUUAUAAUUAGUAUUUUUGUUGUUAUAAGAUGAUAAAACAUAAAUAGUAAUUUACUAGUGACUUAUGCUUUUAUUUUUUUUAAAAAAAAAUUUAAAUAAGACGAACAAUCAAAAUUAGACGCGAAAAACCAUAACUGCAUUUAAA